GAUGAACGCUGGCGGCGUGCCUAAUACACGCAAGUCGAGCGAACGGACGAGGAGCUUGCUUCUCUGAUGUUAGCGGCGGACGGGUGAGUAACACGUGGAUACCCUCCCUAUAAGACUGGGAUAAUUUCGGGAAACCGGAGCUUAUACCGGAUAAUAUUUUGAACCGCAUGGUUCAAAAGUGAAAGACGGUCUUGGUGUCACUUCUAGAUGGAUCCGCGCUGCAUUAGCUAGUUGGUAGGGUAACGGCUUACCAAGGCAACGAUGCAUAGCCGACCUGAGGGGGUGAUCGGCCACACUGGAAGUGAGACACGGUCCUGACUCCUACGGUAGGCAGCAGUAGGGAACCUGCCGCAAUAGGCGAAAGCCUUACGGAGCAACGGGGAGUGAGUGAUGAAGGUCUUCGGAGCGUAAAGAUCGGUUAUGAGGUAAGAACAUAUGUGGAAGUAACUGUGCACAGCGUGACGGUACCUAAUCAGAAAGCCACGGCUAACUACGUG
rnacentral:rRNA from 1 species